AGGGGGGAAAUACAACCGUACAUUCAAAACAAUGUCAAGGAAGGAAAUAAAAGUGGGUCAAACUUUACAGGAUAGUAAAAAUAGGCCUCAAAUGUAUCAAUAAUUGAAUACAAAUAGGCUGAGCGCAAAGGGAAAGGUUCACAAAAUGCAUUAAAGAAAACUCAAAACCAAAAGCAAUAAUAACUUUAAACAUGGUCCGUGUUUUUAACCUCAAAUAUAUAGGAAGUGAACAUUUAUAAACCUGCAGGAAGAAAUUGGAAAACUCAUCCUCAUGGAGGGAAGUCUCAAAACCUUUUUCUAAAUUCUCAACAAAUCAAACUAAAAAAAUUUACAUAACUACGGCUAUCAAUGUGUAAGAAAGGAGCAGAGGCACAAAUUAAACGACAUCACAGGAAUGCAAGGGCACAGCCCAGCACGUGGGAACUAUGAGACCAAAAAUCUUCAGUCAAUCGACUGCAAGAAAAAAAUCUAAAGAGGAGAAACCAGGUGUUGAAGAUACUUGAGACAUGCCAAUCAAAUGCAAUGAUGUACCAGGCUUGGGUUGCACAAUCAAAAAACUGAAAGAAAAAAAAAAUUAGCCAUUGGGAGAGAUCUAAAGGUGACUGGGUAUUUGAUAUUCAAAAUGACUUAUCCUUUUAGUAUGAUACUUGAAUGUGGUUAUAUACUUUUUAAAAUAGGCUUUUUAUUUUCUAAUAGUUUAAUUUUUUUUUUUUCUUGAGAUGGAGUCUUGCUCUGUUGCCCAGGCUGAAGUGCAGUGGAGUGAUCUCAGCUCACUGCAAGCUCUGCCUCCCAGGUUCAAGCAAUUCUCCUGCCUCAGCCUCCCAAGUAGGUGGAAUUACAGGCAGACACCACCACACCUGGCUAAUUUUUGUAAUUUUAGUAGAGACGGGGUUUCACUAUGUUGGCCAGGCUGGUCUCGAACUCCUGACCUCAGGUGAUCCACCCACCUCGGCCUCCCAAAGUGCUGGGAUUACAGGUGUGAACCACCAUGCCCGGCCUAUUUUCUGAGUUUUAGAUUUAUAGAAAAAAUUGUGAGGAUACAUCACACCUAAUUUCCCCUUUUAUUAGUAUUUUACAUUAGCAUGGUACAUUUAUUACAAUUAGUGAACCAAUAUUGAUACAUAUUAACUAAACACUUUAGAUUUUCUUAGUUUUUACCUAAUGUCCUUUUUUUGUUCCAGGAUGCUAUCCAGGACACCACACUGCAUUUACUCACCACAUCUCCUUAGGCCCUUCUAGGCAUGAAAGUUUCUCAUGCUUCUCUUUUUGAUGAUCUUGACAGUAGGAAGGUAUUUUGUAAAGUCCUUCGGCUAGGUUAUAUCUGAUGUUUUUCUCAUGAUUAAGCUGAGAGUACAGGGUUUUGGAAAGAAGACCAAAAAGGUAAAGUGCUAUUCUCCUAUUUUGAGGUAUUUCCUAGCAACAUGACACUAUUGACGUUGACCUUGAUCAUCUGGCUGAGAAAGUGUCAGUUUUCUCCACUGUAGUUACUAUUUUAUUCCCAUUUCUAUACUCUCCUCUUUGAAAGCAAGUCACUGUGUACAGCUCGUUUGGUUCCUGCUAAUGUUUAUGUUUCACACGGGCAGUGCUGUGGGAUGGGCUGAGCUCCGGUAGGCAGGGGUGCUCUGGAAUUCCUCAUUUAUGUGUUAUGUGUCAUGUGUCAGUUCAAAGAGCCUGCAUCUUUAACAUAAAACACAACUACCAAAAACUAUGGAUCCAGUGAUUAAGAGAUACUGUUUUAUUUUUUUAAAAAGUUAUCCUCAAAGUUUCAGGCGUGACUGUUC
rnacentral:lncRNA from 10 species